rnacentral:tRNA from 1 species
GGCUCCAUAGUGUAGUGGUUAGCAGUCUGCUUUGCAAGCAGAAGGUCCUGGGUCUGCGCCCCAGGUGGAGCCA